GCGGGGGUUGCCGAGCCAGGUUAAAGGCGCCAGUCGCGGGGCGAAACUCAAGCCGGCUUGGUGAGAAAUCUGGUCUCGAAGGAGUUCGGGGGUUCAAAUCCCCUCCCCCGCA
rnacentral:tRNA from 1 species